rnacentral:lncRNA from 1 species
UUUGAAAUUGAAGCGUAAAAAGAAAUUGAAUUAAUAAAAUUCCAAGAAGACACAUGAUACAUUUUGGCAUAACCAAAUUUCAAAAUUCAGAUAAUGAUCUACAUUCUGACCCCAGCAUGAUACAUUUUGGCAUAACCAAAUUUCAAAAUUCAGAUAAUGAGCUACAUUCUGACCCCAGCAUUUUACCUAUAUGAAUUGCAGACGAAAAUUAAAGACAUUCGGGAUCUCAAAUCACAUAUGCACAUAUGGUUUGCAAAAAUUGGUAUCCACUUCAGAUUCCAUCCACCCAAUUCCU